rnacentral:rRNA from 1 species
GAUGAACGCUGGCGGCGUGCCUAAUACAUGCAAGUCGAGCGGACAGACGAGGGCUUUCCCUUUCUGACGAUAGCCGCGGACGGGAGAGUAACACGUGGAUCACCUACCUAUAAGACUAGGAUAACCUCGGGAAGCCGGCGCUAAUACCGGAUGAUAUAUUGCACCGCAUGGUUCAAUUGGGAAAGACUUUUUUGCUGUCACUUCUCGAUGCCUCCGCGCCGCAUUGGCUGGUUGGUAAGGAAACGGCUUACCACGGCAACGAUGCGUAGCCGACCGGAGGGGGUGAUCGCCCACACGAGAACGGAGACGCGGACCCGGCGCCUACGGGAGGCAGCAGUAGGGAACGGUCCGCAGUGGUCGAGAACAUGACGGAGCAGCGCCGCGCGAGUGACGGAGGUCCUCGGAUCGUAAUAAUCUCUUACGAGUGAAGAACAAAUGUGUAAGUAAAUAUACACGUAGUGACGGUACCUGAACAGAAAGCCACGGCUAACUACGUG